rnacentral:rRNA from 1 species
UGGGGAAUAUUGGACAAUGGGCGCAAGCCUGAUCCAGCCAUGCCGCGCGAGUGAUGAAGGCCUUAGGGUUGUAAAGCUCUUUUAGCAGGGAAGAUAAUGACGGUACCUGCAGAAAAAGCCCCGGCUAACUUCGUGCCAGCAGCCGCGGUAAUACGAAGGGGGCUAGCGUUGCUCGGAAUUACUGGGCGUAAAGCGCACGUAGGCGGACUCUUAAGUCGGUGGUGAAAUCCUGGAGCUCAACUCCAGAACUGCCUUCGAUACUGGGAGUCUUGAGUUCGGGAGAGGUGAGUGGAACUGCGAGUGUAGAGGUGAAAUUCGUAGAUAUUCGCAAGAACACCAGUGGCGAAGGCGGCUCACUGGCCCGAUACUGACGCUGAGGUGCGAAAGCGUGGGGAGCAAACA